rnacentral:rRNA from 1 species
GUAGGGAAUCUUCGGCAAUGGACGAAAGUCUGACCGAGCAACGCCGCGUGAGUGAAGAAGGUUUUCGGAUCGUAAAACUCUGUUGUUAGAGAAGAAUGUUGAUUAGAGUGGAAAAUUAAUCAAGUGACGGUAUCUAACCAGAAAGGGACGGCUAACUACGUGCCAGCAGCCGCGGUAAUACGUAGGUCCCGAGCGUUGUCCGGAUUUAUUGGGCGUAAAGCGAGCGCAGGUGGUUUAAUAAGUCUGAUGUAAAAGGCAGUGGCUCAACCAGUGUGUGCAUUGGAAACUGUUAGACUUGAGUGCAGUAGAGGAGAGUGGAAUUCCAUGUGUAGCGGUGAAAUGCGUAGAUAUAUGGAGGAACACCGGUGGCGAAAGCGGCUCUCUGGACUGUCACUGACACUGAGGCUCGAAAGCGUGGGUAGCAAACAGGAUUAGAAACCCGAGUAGUCC